rnacentral:rRNA from 1 species
AUUGAACGCUGGCGGCAUGCCUUACACAUGCAAGUCGAACGGCAGCAUGGAGAGCUUGCUCUCUGAUGGCGAGUGGCGAGCGGGUGAGUAAAGCAUCGGAACGUACCGUGUAGUGGGGGAUAACGUAGCGAAAGUUACGCUAAUACCGCAUACGCACUGAGGUGGAAAGCAGGGGAUCGUAAGACCUUGCGCUAUACGAGCGGCCGAUGUCAGAUUAGCUAGUUGGUAGGGUAAAGGCCUACCAAGGCGACGAUCUGUAGCGGGUCUGAGAGGAUGAUCCGCCACACUGGGACUGAGACAAGGCCCAGACUCCUACGGGAGGCAGCAGUGGGGAAUUUUGGACAAUGGGGGCAACCCUGAUCCAGCCAUGCCGCGUGAGUGAAGAAGGCCUUCGGGUUGUAAAGCUCUUUCGGCCGGGAAGAAAUCGCACAGGCUAAUACCCUGUGUGGAUGACGGUACCGGCAUAAGAAGCACCGGCUAACUACGUGCCAGCCGCCGCCGUAA